rnacentral:rRNA from 1 species
ACGGCUCAGUAACACGUAGUCAACCUACCCUAUGGACGGGAAUAACCUCGGGAAACUGAGUAUAAUGCCCGAUAGAACACUAUGCCUGGAAUGGUUUGUGUUCCAAAUGAUUUAUCGCCAUAGGAUGGGACUGCGGCCUAUCAGUUUGUUGGUGAGGUAAUGGCCCACCAAGACUAUUACAGGUACGGGCUCUGAGAGGAGUGGCCCGGAGAUGGGUACUGAGACACGGACCCAGGCCCUAUGGGGCGCAGCAGGCGAGAAAACUUUGCAAUGUGCGAAAGCACGACAAGGUUAAUCCGAGUGGUUUCUGCUAAAGGAACCUUUUGUUAGUCAUAGAACCACUAAUGAAUAAGGGGUGGGCAAGUUCUGGUGUCAGCCGCCGCGGUAAAACCAGCACCUCAAGUGGUCAGGAUGAUUAUUGGGCCUAAAGCAUCCGUAGCCGGCUCUGUUAGUUUUCGGUUAAAUCUGUACGCUCAACGUACAGGCUGCCGGGAAUACUGCAGAGCUAGGGAGUGGGAGAGGUAGACGGUACUCGGUAGGAAGGGGUAAAAUCCUUUGAUCUAUUGAUGACCACCUGUGGCGAAGGCGGUCUACCAGAACACGUCCGACGGUGAGGGAUGAAAGCUGGGGGAGCAAACCGGAUUAGAUACCCGGGUAGUCCCAGCUGUAAACUAUGCAAACUCAGUGAUGCAUUGGCUUGUGGCCAGUGCAGUGCUGCAGGGAAGCCGUUAAGUUUGCCGCCUGGGAAGUACGUACGCAAGUAUGAAACUUAAAGGAAUUGGCGGGGGAG